rnacentral:rRNA from 1 species
UACCAGCACCCCGAGUGGUCGGGACGUUUAUUGGGCCUAAAGCAUCCGUAGCCGGUUCUACAAGUCUUCCGUUAAAUCCACCUGCUUAACAGAUGGGCUGCGGAAGAUACUAUAGAGCUAGGAGGCGGGAAAGGCAAGCGGUACUCGAUGGGUAGGGGUAAAAUCCGUUGAUCCAUUGAAGACCACCAGUGGCGAAGGCGGCUUGCCAGAACGCGCUCGACGGUGAGGGAUGAAAGCUGGGGGAGCAAACCGG